rnacentral:rRNA from 1 species
ACUUCAUGGAGAGUUUGAUCCUGGCUCAGGACGAACGCUGGCGGCGUGCCUAAUACAUGCAAGUCGAGCGCAGGAAACUGACGGAACUCUUCGGAGGGAAGGCAGCGGAAUGAGCGGCGGACGGGUGAGUAACACGUAAGGAACCUGCCUCAAGGAUUGGGAUAACUCCGAGAAAUCGGAGCUAAUACCGGAUAGUUCAUCGGACCGCAUGGUCCG